CAGCUUUCUGAAGUUAGGGAAACCACAAUCAGGAGUGGUUCUCUUUGGAUGGUCUUAUAAAAUUGUUGUAUAAGUUUUUUCAACUAGUGUGACAGUCACUAUUUACGCCUAUGGCUUGAUUCCAGCAGAGAUUUUAACACAAUGACCUGUUUUCCCUCCACAAAGUGACAGGAGUAGCAGCCACCCCAUGCUCAGCCAUAGAAUCACUAAGAUACUGAUGCC
rnacentral:lncRNA from 1 species